ACUCCUGCGGGAGGCAGCAGUGGGGAAUAUUGGACAAUGGGCGCAAGCCUGAUCCAGCCAUGCCGCGUGAGUGAUGAAGGCCCUAGGGUUGUAAAGCUCUUUCACCGGUGAAGAUAAUGACGGUAACCGGAGAAGAAGCCCCGGCUAACUUCGUGCCAGCAGCCGCGGUAAUACGAAGGGGGCUAGCGUUGUUCGGAUUUACUGGGCGUAAAGCGCACGUAGGCGAACUAUUAAGUCAGGGGUGAAAUCCCGGGGCUCAACCCCGGAACUGCCUUUGAUACUGGUAGUCUUGAGUUCGAGAGAGGUGAGUGGAAUUCCGAGUGUAGAGGUGAAAUUCGUAGAUAUUCGGAGGAACACCAGUGGCGAAGGCGGCUCACUGGCUCGAUACUGACGCUGAGGUGCGAAAGCGUGGGGAGCAAACAGGAUUAGAUACCCGUGUAGUCCCAUGA
rnacentral:rRNA from 1 species